GUUGUAGAGGUGGUUGGAGAAUUCUUCAGCUUGUUCUUCGUUGCUUCUUGCCCAUGUGUUAUCUGCUUUUCUGAUUGCCGGGACGGGUAUUAUUGGCUUCCUUAUUUUUUUCGUGGCUUUCCAUAGUGAAUAGUUGGUGUUCUCGUGUGUGGAGAGUGUCCCUAUGAACUUUGAGAAUUCGUUAUCGUUGUGCUCCUUUAUUUUGUUUUUUAUUUCCUUUGCAAGUUUGUUUAAGUGUUUUUUGUUUUCUCGAGUUCUGUGUUUUUGCCAUUUUGCUUUCACUUUUCUUUUUUCUCUAAUUUUGUCGAGUAUUUCUUGCGGAAUUGUUAUUGUUUGUCUGCUGGUUGAUUCGGGUGUAGUGGUUGUCCUUGCUGCUUCUUGAAUAGUUGCUGUCAAUGUUGCUACUGCCUGUUCUAUGUGUUCAGGAGUUUUCAACGGGAUGUUGCAGUUUAUUUUGCUCUCUAUUAU
rnacentral:misc_RNA from 1 species